UCGGCGUGGAUUAGGCAUGCAAGUCGAACGGGAAGCCUCUUUUUCAACCUUCGGGGAGAAAUCGAGGUGGAGAGUGGCGAAAGGGUGAGUAACGCGUGGAUAAGCUACCCCUAAGUUGGGGACAACAUCGGGAAACCGGUGCUAAUACCGAAUGUGGUACUGUGUCGCAUGGCACGGCUACUAAAGGUGGGGACCUUCGGGCCUGCCGCUUGGGGAGGCAUCCGCGUGCCAUCAGCUUGUUGGUAGGGUAAUGGCCUACCAAGGCUUACGGCUAGCUGGUCUGAGAGGAUGAUCAGCCACACUGGGACUGAGACACUGCCCAGACUCCUACGGGAGGCUGCAGUCGAGGAUCAUUCGCAAUGCCCGAAAG
rnacentral:rRNA from 1 species